CCUUGUUUUUCGGCCUAAAAGCAUGUAGAGCUAGUCAAGUAACUGAAAUGGAUCAGAAUAACAGAUGGGGCUUAAUGUUGGGCUGCCCACCAAAAAAAUUGGAUUCUGUUUUAUUUUGAGCCCAAGCCACAUUUAAAAUACGUUAUUACAUACUUGUUACCCACAUCCCUCAAUGAAAGUUACAGGUGGAAACUGCUUACCCAGCAAUGCUAAUUUAAAGUGGAGUCAAAACGCACAGGAUUUUCAUCAAACGGGUGGUAUGCAAUUUCCACGCCAUUCUAGGUCUCGGCUCAGGUCAGUCUUGUGCAGCAUGAUAGUUCGUAACAGUUAUGUGAAUAUGUGUAAGUUGUGAUUAAGUUCUAAUUCAUUUUUACAUGUAUUAGAAUGUCAUUGAUAUGACUGGAAAACAGUGGGUUGGGUCAGGUUGUGUAAUGUGUCCAAACUGUCAGGAAGGGGUUGGGUUGGGUUGUGUAAAGUGCCAGAUUGGGUUCGUCUCUGAAUUGGCAGCUUUUAGAAAAACAUGUCAAAUGGAUUGGGGUCAGAACGGGUUGGGUCAAAGUGGGUUACUGUGCUAUAUUUGUUUUUACGGAGGUUAGUGACAGUGGCGGCAUGGCUACUGCUGUGGUGGCACCGACGGCGACAGGUAGAUGACCCUUCUUGCUUAAGUCCUUUGGUGGCUUUCGUAUAUUUGCUUUUUCCUAUGUAGGUUUCUGAUUCCCCUUUUCUUGUCCUUUUCCAUUCUUCAUCUGAUUUGCUUCUUUUUGCGUCUGAUACCUCUUUCUCCGGUUCGUGCACAGUCUGCUACAGAAAAAAUACGUAUAACGUCUACAGUAUUUCAAGAAUAUCAAAACCGGGUAUCAGCAAAACAGUACAAUGGAAUCAACUAACCUUAUUAUCCUUAGCACACAGAGUACUAGAUUGAGUUUAGUUUCCAUUCCUCUUAUUGUCUUUAAUCAUGUUUUUGACAUGUAAACAUGUUUCUCUACUUUCCUUUAUCCACCAUUCCACCCAGCAGUUUUUGGACCAAAACAUUACUUAACCAAAUUUAAUUGCCAAAAAUUAGAUAAAGAAGAAGAGACAUUUUUACUACCAAUUUUCUUCUUAACAUUCAAUAAAACCAAAGGUCUUAUAUAGGCUUACAAGAAGGAAACGUGCAUGUGCAUGACAGAAAUGAAAACAUGGACCUAAUGCUUUAACCCACCACAUGAUUAACUGCCGUAAAUGAAAAUAAAAAGGAUUUUCAAUGGAAACGUGGGUAAUCUGUGAUCAUGGAAGCAUGGACGAGGUGGUUUUUUGACCCGGUCAAGGAGGAUCUGUAUCACAAAACUACCAUUUGAACGAAGCAAUAUAAAAUAAAUUAUUUGUAUGUUUUCACAAAAUGAACCUAAAGAUCAUUAGGGAGGCAAUUCGUUUCUUUUCAAGAGAUCCAUUUCACGCAAGUUAUGUUGGUUUCUAACAUCAAUCAUCUCAUGAGGCAGCCUAUUCAACACUUUUGUUAGGGAACAACUGGUAUUCAAUCCAUUAAAUCAACAUUUCAGUUGUAGUUGCCUACAAGUACUUGUAACUGUAACAGUUAAAAAAUUAUUAACACACCAAAGUGUUCUGCAAAAAUAACAUUAGAUAGAAGUGUGACACCCUUGUCAUAAAAAUACCAAACUUGAUCCACUUGUAAUCAUUUGGUUCCAUUUGCACAAUGCGACAAAACGUCUGAUAAUAAGCCCAAUUUGAUUUCUUAGUUGACUUUUGCUUAUGACCUGAAUUUACCAUAUCAUUAUUUAGAUUUCCUGCCAUAUACAUCAGAUAUUGGCUAGCAGCAAUCUGAUUUUGACUACUACAAACUUUAUACUCCAACUGCUGUUGACUUUGGCCCUCCACCCAUUGUUUCCUAGCUCUAUGUGACUAUGUGUCAUUGGGAAACAGUAGUUAUGCAGUUUCUUAAAUUAAUUCGUUCCGUGCUUAGUGCUUAUCACAUAAUUGUUGGGAACGGAAAAAGAAUGUUUUGGGAUGGUUGGUUGUGCAUUCUGAAAGUGAUAUUGAUUGUACAAGAUGGUUGGUUGGUUUUAUAUUUUUUGCUUUUGGAUACACACUUAACUUAUUUCAUUUAGAUAUGCUGCUCAGGUCGGUCUGAAUGCAUUUUUUGAACGGGUCCAACGGGUUGUUCACAGCAACAUUUCGUCUCCUAGAGAUCGGGGUUUCGUUUUUACUAGUCACUUCUUGCAGCAUCGGGAUCUAUCCAUUUUUUGUCAAACAUAGCACUUGCAUAAAACAGUAGCAGUUAAAAGAGGCAAAUUGCUACAUGCUAUACAAGGAAAAAAUAACUUAUGUGCUACUGGAAAUUCCCGUUUCUUUUGUUGACGUUUCAGGACCCCAUGUGAGUGUUUGAUUAAUUAUAUGGUCGGUGCUGCAAGCUUAAAAAGGUUAGUGUUUGGGGUAAAUGGGUUUAGGACCACACAUUACUCCCAAGAUGAAAAACAUAUCCAAAAGGGUUCAACCCGUUUAUGAUACUCAUAGCACGUUUAACUUACCGUGCUAAAUAUAUAACUAGAUAGUGCCAAGGGGUGUUAUGGCGGUGUUGCUUCAAGUAAAAGUUUUAAAGGCUGGCGCUUUAUACAUUUGUUCAUCAGUGUCUCUGGCUGCGUUAUGUGAGUUUGGAAUUCUUGCAGAUUGCCAUCUACUAUUUUACUUGUGACAUUGGCUUACUUAUGCAGAUCAAUUCAAGUCAAAGGUAAAAAAAUUAGAAGUCAAAUGCUUGUGGUCAAUGGUCAAGUUUAUGGGAGUUAUUGGGUCAAAGUUUGCUAUGAAAAUGAUAAAUGGAGAAGCAGGUUAAUAAGUUAUCUGAAAGUAAAAUACAGACAAGGGAUGAAUGACCCUGAUCAUGGCAGUGAAUGUAGAACAUAUCUGGGUUUUGAUCAUCUGGAUUUGGUCAAAGCUUAUAAAAGGUGGGCCACAGUCAACCAGAAGUCAAUGCAGUCAAAAGUCAACAUUGAAGCAUGAGAAGUCAAUGCAGGAAAACACUCCAAAAGAACAUGAAUUAUACAGUCAAAGUUGGAAUUCUACUAUGUUACCAUAUGAGUGGGAGUAUAAAGAAAACUGCUUUUCGCUUUGGGUACAACUUGUGAAGCAGAAGGUACAUUUGACAAUGCACUGGAAAUAUGCAGAUGAUUUCCUGUUGGGUUGGUUUUCUAUCUUCUAUCAGUACGCAUUCCCAGGUCCGAACUUUAGAAAUGUAAACUUGUGCUUAAUUUUUUUUUUUGGAAGGUGAGAAAAAAAUCCAAGGGUUGACUUUUUGGUCAAACUGGCAGGUCGAAUUUUGAUGCGAUGGUAUAAGAGAACUCUAUUACAGUAAUGGAAAGUCGAACGUUGCAUUUUCGAACAGAUAAAGCAUUAAAAACACGUCGGUGUUACAUUUUUCCAACAUCAUGCCCCAACUCAACCUUCGAUGUCAUAAAAUCAAUAAAGUAAAUAACAAGGCUAAUAUGAUAAAACUGUUUGCACUGCAAACUUUGGAGUAAGUAGCUUGGUUUCAUCUUUCUAAGAAAUAACAUUUAAUUUGUUUAAAAGAGAGUUUAAUGCUAAAUUCUACAUAUUAGAAGACUGGUUUAAAGAUCAAUUCCUGUCAUGGUUGUAAAACAAGGUCUCCAUGGCCGAGUACUCCCCGAGUAGUCGCUACAAGGUAGGCUGCAGAGUCGACUUUUAAACGAGUUGGUGUUGUUUGUUUUUUUCCAGAAAAGUUCGGCUCUUCUGUCUAUGCGGCAUAGAGCACGCGCAGACAUUGCCACACGUAGAUUGUUUGUUUUUUCGAAAACGUUUCAAUAAAAAACGUCUAUGCGAGCUCUUCUUAACGCAAACUUGACCCAGACAUUUCUAAGAUUUUCUAAGGUCUGCAGAUGGUUAAACACCACUACCCAC